GACGAACGCUGGCGGCGUGCUUAACACAUGCAAGUCGAACGGAAAGGCCCUGCUUUUGUGGGGUGCUCGAGUGGCGAACGGGUGAGUAACACGUGAGUAACCUGCCCUUGACUUUGGGAUAACUUCAGGAAACUGGGGCUAAUACUGGAUAGGGGCUCCUGCUGCAUGGUGGGGGUUGGAAAGUUUCGGCGGUUGGGGAUGGACUCGCGGCUUAUCAGCUUGUUGGUGGGGUAGUGGCUUACCAAGGCUUUGACGGGUAGCCGGCCUGAGAGGGUGACCGGCCACAUUGGGACUGAGAUACGGCCCAGACUCCUACGGGAGGCAGCAGUGGGGAAUAUUGCACAAUGGGCGGAAGCCUGAUGCAGCAACGCCGCGUGCGGGAUGACGGCCUUCGGGUUGUAAACCGCUUUCGCCUGUGACGAAGCGUGAGUGACGGUAAUGGGUAAAGAAGCACCGGCUAACUACGUG
rnacentral:rRNA from 1 species